CAGGAACCCAAUGGCCUCAUCACUCAGUAUGAGAUCAGCUACCAAAGCAUUGAGUCCUCAGACCCGGCAGUGAACGUGCCCGGCCCUCGACGCACCAUCUCCAAACUUCGAAAUGAGACCUACCACGUCUUCUCCAACCUGCACCCCGGAACCACUUACCUGUUCUCCGUGCGUGCUCGGACCAGCAAGGGCUUCGGCCAGGCGGCUCUCACCGAGAUUACCACCAACAUCUCGGCUCCCAGCUUUGAUUAUGCUGACAUGCCGUCACCCCUGGGCGAGUCUGAGAACACCAUCACUGUGCUGCUGAGGCCGGCCCAGGGCCGAGGAGCACCCAUCAG
rnacentral:lncRNA from 1 species